GCCGUGAUCGUAUAGUGGUUAGUACUCUGCCCGCAGCAACCCCGGUUCGAAUCCGGGUCACCAUG